CAACACGGCUUCAGUCGCGGUAGAACCAGGACGGGUCUGGACUCGGCGACCAUCGUUCUCGCUCUACACUACCAAUCAUGACCAAGCCUAUGUCUCCUUCUCGGUAAUGAAACGUCUAAAAUAAAAUAAACAGUUCAAGCAUUUUCUUGGGAAAGACUAACUUCUUUUCAAGUUUAUAAAAUAUAGGAGGGAAAUGUUAGGAACAAAUCGUACGGUGAUAAUAACGAUGAGAAGCUCGUCGUAGCAGCCAAAGAGGCUAAGGAGAGGAUGGACUAUUGAGAAGAAGAAGAAACAUGGAUUUCAUCUGCAGAAACCCAUCCACAUAAAUCCAUCUGCAGAAACUCAUCCAUAGGAAUUCAUCCACAAAAACCCAUCUGCAGAAAUCCAUUCACAUGAACUUAUCCAACACGACUUUGGAGGAAAAAAAACCAUUUGAAUUUUGAAUUAAAAGAACUGUUGGAGACUUGUCACAUCAGACUCAAUUGUUAGAUUAUUUUUCUGUAAAAUCUCUCUAUAUGUACUUA
rnacentral:lncRNA from 1 species